UGGGGAAUAUUGGACAAUGGGGGCAACCCUGAUCCAGCAAUGCCGCGUGUGUGAAGAAGGCCUGCGGGUUGUAAAGCACUUUUGGCAGGGAUGAAAGCACUGGAUUAAUAACCCAGUGUGUUGACCCAACCUGCAGAAGAAGCACCGGCUAACUCUGUGCCAGCAGCCGCGGUAAUACAGAGGUGGCAAGCGUUGUUCGGAAUUACUGGGCGUAAAGGGCGCGUAGGCGGCCCUCUAAGUCAGACGUGAAAUCCCCCGGCUUAACCUGGGAACUGCGUCUGAUACUGGAGGGCUUGAGUAUGGGAGAGGGAUGUAGAAUUCCAGGUGUAGCGGUGAAAUGCGUAGAUAUCUGGAGGAAUACCGGUGGCGAAGGCGGCAUCCUGGACCAUUACUGACGCUGAGGCGCGAAAGCUAGGGGAGCAAACGGGAUUAGAUACCCAUGUAGUCCCUGAGCGGGCUGGCAAGGCGCAU
rnacentral:rRNA from 1 species